GAUGAACGCUGGCGGCGUGCCUAAUACAUGCAAGUCGAGCGAACAGACGAGGAUCUUGCUCCUCUGACGUUAGCGGCGGACGGGUGAGUAACACGUGUAUAACCUACCUAUAAGACUGGGAUAACUUCGGGAAACCGGAUCUAAUACCGGAUAAUAUAUUGAACCGCAUGGUUCAAUAGUGAAAGACGGUUUUGCUGUCACUUAUAGAUGGAUCCGCGCCGCAUUAGCUAGUUGGUAAGGUAACGGCUUACCAAGGCAACGAUGCGUAGCCGAACUGAGAGGGUGAUCGGCCACCCUGGAACUGGGACAGGGUCCAGACUCCUAAGGGAGGCAGCAGUAGGGAAUCUUCCGCAAUGGGCGAAAGCCUGACGGAGCAACGCCGAGUGAGUGAUGAAGGUCUUCGGAUCGUAAAACUCUGUUAUUAGGGAAGAACAAAUGUGUAAGUAACUAUGCACGUCUUGACGGUACCUAAUCAGAAAGCCACGGCUAACUACGUG
rnacentral:rRNA from 1 species